rnacentral:tRNA from 1 species
GGUCCACUAGCUCAGCUGGAUAGAGCGCAUCCCUCCUAAGGAUGAGGUCACCCGUUCGAAUCGGGUGUGGAUCA